rnacentral:lncRNA from 1 species
CCACUGGUGCAUUACUGAAACAAAUAACUUAAAAUAUGGAGAAAUGUUUGGUGGAUUUCGUCUCUAACUAUAUCAGAUGAUAGGGUGUACUUACAUACAUAUCUAUCAUAUUACAUAUUUACAAUCAAUCUGAAAAUAGACCACAUUCAAAUAAAAUAUUCAGCAUUAGAACAAACCAUUUGCAUUGCUCCACAUGGCUUCAUCCUUGGACAAUUUUGUGUGUUCUUGAAGUUUACACUCUUAACAAUCACAUUUUCCACACAAUAGGAUUUCGUAAUUCAACACAUUCUAUCAUUAUAAACGGACUGAAACUAAAUGAUCCGCAUAACAAAACACACAUACAUCUGCAUAAACUUGCCAAAGAAAAAUGAAUGAAAACUUAGGCAUAAGUUCCAGCCAAUAAUUAUAUACAAAACUAAAAUAUGUGUGUGCGCAUGUUUGAGUGUGUGUGCGCAUGUUUGAGUGUUUUUGUGCAUGAGAGAGAGAGAGAGAGAGAGAGAGAGAGAGAGAGAGAGAGAGAGAGAGAGAGAAACUAAUAAAAAAUAUGUAUGUUGAUAACUUUGCUACACAUCUAUCUUGUAUCCCAUCCUCGUCUUUGUAACUCUUUUGCAUUGAUUGAGGUGCAAUGGCCACCAAUACACCAACCACGGGCAAAAUGCAUAAAAAAAAUAAUGAAAACUCAAACAAAGCAUCACAAAUCAGAAAAAUUUUCCCCCAAAAUAGGAAAAUAAAAAUGCUGCUAUAACACCACUACAGCUUUGUGUGGAGAAAAAUAAAAAAGAAAAAAAGAGCCAAUUGUAAUCUUUUCUCAAAAAGAAAAAAUAAUAACAUCAACAAACUAAAACUUUGCUGAAACUUUUUGGAACUGUGGGAAAAAACCAGGAAAGAUCUUAAAAGUUCAACUUUAAACAUUGAUAUGUGCGUGUGGAUGAAAGUGAACCGGUGGGAAAAACUUCUUAAAAUUAAUAU